rnacentral:RNase_P_RNA from 1 species
UGGGCCGUCCGACCCGCCGCUGUAUUCCGGGGUUUCCUCCGGGAUGCAGAGCAAAGUCCGGACUCGCGAGGACCAGGGUUCUCACCCUGGUCCAGAAAGGCCGCUCGGGCUAAAAACCCGAGGGGCGGCACGGCGCAAGCCCGCCGCCACGUCAAGUGCAACAGAGAGCAGACCAGCCGAUGGCCGGAGAGGGGUAACCCCUUCAGGCACAGGUGAUGGGUGAAAGGGUGGGGUAAGAGCCCACCGGCGGUAUCCCGCGAGGGACCGGCCAGGUAAACCACCGGUGCGAGCAAGCCAAAUUGUCCCGGCUAGAACCCUGUCGGGCUGGUAGGCGCGGCUCCCUUCGGGAGCCCGGGGCUUAAAGAGCCCCGGAGAUGGAUGGCGGGAUAGAGCAGAAUCCGGCUUACGGGACGGCUCAGGCC